UGGCCAAAUUUUUACAUACUAGUUCAAAAUGUAAGGGGAAAAAUAGGAGUCAGAGGUAUUAGGAAUUAGAGUUCAAAUAGAUUAUGCACCGUGUCGACUGUACUACUACUUAGUAGUUUGUAGCCUUAUCUUCAGUGUACACGUACUCAGCAUACAGUUUUACUAAACGUCUACACAUGAAUACCCUCGAUAUGAUCAUUCCACAAAUGAAUCCAGCGACACAAUGUAUAUACGUGUAUACACAUUUGAAGGAUCAAACAGGAGUUGGCAGACUGCACACAACAUUUUGUCGCCUUGGCAACGCACGGUGAAUUCUCAAGG
rnacentral:lncRNA from 1 species